rnacentral:rRNA from 1 species
CCUACGGGAGGCAGCAGUAAGGAAUAUUGGUCAAUGGAGGCAACUCUGAACCAGCCAUGCCGCGUGCAGGAAGAAGGCCCUAUGGGUCGUAAACUGCUUUUGUACCAGAGAAAACCCGAGUACGUGUACUCGGUUGAUAGUAUGGUAAGAAUAAGCAUCGGCUAACUUCGUGCCAGCAGCCGCGGUAAGACGAAGGAUGCAAGCGUUAUCCGGAUUCAUUGGGUUUAAAGGGUGCGUAGGCGGACUGAUAAGUCAGUGGUGAAAUCUCUCGGCUUAACCGAGAAACUGCCAUUGAUACUGUUAGUCUAGAGUAUAGAUGACGUUGGCGGAAUAUGACAUGUAGUGGUGAAAUACUUAGAUGUGUCAUAGAACACCGAUUGCGAAGGCAGCUAACGAAACUAUAACUGACGCUGAGGCACGAAAGUGCGGGGAUCAAACAGGAUUAGAUACCCUGGUAGUCCGCACCGUAAACGAUGAUUACUCGUUGUUGGCAAUAUGACCGUCAGCGACCAGCGAAAGCGAUAAGAAUCCAACCUGGGGAGUUAGCGGNAACGGUUGAACUUAAGGAUUGACAGNGNGAGAGNGCGAGAGCGACGAGGAGAGG